rnacentral:rRNA from 1 species
AGCGAACGCUGGCGGCAGGCCUAACACAUGCAAGUCGAACGAACCUUUCGGGGUUAGUGGCGGACGGGUGGUUAACACGUGGGAACGUGCCUUUAGGUUCGGAAUAACUCAGGGAAACUUGUGCUAAUACCGAAUGUGCCCUUCGGGGGAAAGAUUUAUCGCCUUUAGAGCGGCCCGCGUCUGAUUAGCUAGUUGGUUGAGGUAAUGGCUCACCAAGGCGACGAUCAGUAGCUGGGCUGAGAGGAUGAUCAGCCACAUUGGGACUGAGACACGGCCCAAACUCCUACGGGAGGCAGCAGUGGGGAAUCUUGCGCAAUGGGCGAAAGCCUGACGCAGCCAUGCCGCGUGAAUGAUGAAGGUCUUAGGAUUGUAAAAUUCUUUCACCGGGGACGAUAAUGACGGUACCCGGAGAAGAAGCCCCGGCUAACUUCGUG